rnacentral:rRNA from 1 species
CCUCUAAGCAUCAGGUAACACGAAAUCGUACCCCAAACCGACACAGGUGGUCAGGUAGAGAAUACCAAGGCGCUUGAGAGAACUCGGGUGAAGGAACUAGGCAAAAUGGUGCCGUAACUUCGGGAGAAGGCACGCUGAUAUGUAGGUGAAGCCCCUGCGGGCGGAGCUGAAAUCAGUCGAAGAUACCAGCUGGCUGCAACUGUUUAUUAAAAACACAGCACUGUGCAAACACGAAAGUGGACGUAUACGGUGUGACGCCUGCCCGGUGCCGGAAGGUUAAUUGAUGGGGUUAGCGGCAACGCGAAGCUCUUGAUCGAAGCCCCGGUAAACGGCGGCCGUAACUAUAACGGUCCUAAGGUAGCGAAAUUCCUUGUCGGGUAAGUUCCGACCUGCACGAAUGGCGUAAUGAUGGCCAGGCUGUCUCCACCCGAGACUCAGUGAAAUUGAACUCGCUGUGAAGAUGCAGUGUACCCGCGGCAAGACGGAAAGACCCCGUGAACCUUUACUAUAGCUUGACACUGAACACUGGUCCUUGAUGUGUAGGAUAGGUGGGAGGCUUUGAAGCGUGGACGCCAGUCUGCGUGGAGCCGUCCUUGAAAUACCACCCUUUAAUGGCUGGUGUUCUAACGUGGACCCGUGAUCCGGGUUGCGGACAGUGUCUGGUGGGUAGUUUGACUGGGGCGGUCUCCUCCCAAAGAGUAACGGAGGAGCACGAAGGUUAGCUAAUCCUGGUCGGACAUCAGGAGGUUAGUGCAAUGGCAUAAGCUAGCUUGACUGCGAGAGUGACGGCUCGAGCAGGUGCGAAAGCAGGUCAUAGUGAUCCGGUGGUUCUGAAUGGAAGGGCCAUCGCUCAACGGAUAAAAGGUACUCCGGGGAUAACAGGCUGAUACCGCCCAAGAGUUCAUAUCGACGGCGGUGUUUGGCACCUCGAUGUCGGCUCAUCACAUCCUGGGGCUGAAGUAGGUCCCAAGGGUAUGGCUGUUCGCCAUUUAAAGUGGUACGCGAGCUGGGUUUAGAACGUCGUGAGACAGUUCGGUCCCUAUCUGCCGUGGGCGCUGGAGAAUUGAGGGGGGCUGCUCCUAGUACGAGAGGACCGGAGUGGACGCAUCACUGGUGUUCGGGUUGUCAUGCCAAUGGCACUGCCCGGUAGCUAAAUGCGGAAGAGAUAAGUGCUGAAAGCAUCUAAGCACGAAACUUGCCCCGAGAUGAGUUCUCCCUGAGACUUUAAGUCUCCUGAAGGAACGUUGAAGACGACGACGUUGAUAGGCCGGGUGUGUAAGCGCAGCGAUGCGUUGAGCUAACCGGUACUAAUGAACCGUGAGGCUUAACCUU